rnacentral:rRNA from 1 species
GAUGAACGCUAGCGGCAGGCUUAACACAUGCAAGUCGAGGGGCAGCAUGACACGGAGAUUCGUCGAAGUGUUGAUGGCGACCGGCGCAAGGGUGCGUAACGCGUGAGCAACUUGCCCGUUUCUGGGGAAUAACCGGUGGAAACGCCGACUAAUACCCCAUAGUAUUGGAUUUAGGCAUCUUUAUCCAAUUAAAGAAUUUCGGAAACGGAUAGGCUCGCGUGACAUUAGCUGGAUGGCGGGGUAACGGCCCACCAUGGCAACGAUGUCUAGGGGUUCUGAGAGGAAGGUCCCCCACACUGGAACUGAGACACGGUCCAGACUCCUACGGGAGGCAGCAGUGAGGAAUAUUGGUCAAUGGUCGGAAGACUGAACCAGCCAUGCCGCGUGAAGGUGACGGCCCUAUGGGUCUUAAACUUCUUUUGUAAGGGAGCAAUGAGGUUCACGUGUGGACUGAUGAGAGUACCUUACGAAUAAGCAUCGGCUAACUCCGUGCCAGCCGCCGCAGUAAUAC